GGACUCUCUUUGAUGGGUUUUAGGAAGUGAUGUAAUUCCGUCUGGGCCUGUCAAGCAAGCAAUGAUUGCAAAAGGAAGAAGCAGAAAAAAAAGUUGUUCUUCAAGCACUAACUUGGCUGAAGCACAUUUAUGCUGUAGGGGCUCAACUUUACUUUGGGCAAAUUCCACAGCUGAAGACUGCCCUUCUGACAGGACAACAGCUGGUCAGCAAAGUCAUCUUCAACUGCCAGUGAAACACAGCAGUAUUAUGUGACCAAGGUAGUUCCAAGCGGUGCCUUCAUUUAGACUAGUGUGGUGUUUCCUUCACCUCCGACCUUCCAAGACUUCUACUUUUGAAAUCUAGGUGAGACUCCAUGAGAUGUCUCAAUGCAGACUGGGUAAAGGUGGGAUGGACACCCCAAAGUACAGCUUCAGGGUUUGUUUUUGGGGAAAGCCUGUGCUUAUCUCAGUGCUUCAUGUUCCCUUCAGCAGCUAAAUAAUAAGGGCUCUGUCCCAACUUUGCAAGGUUCAAGUAGUCCUGAACUCCAGCAGUGGUGCACCCCACCCUCUUCUGCCCCCAAAACUCUCAGUUUUAACACAGAACACACAGGUGGUUGGGCCAGGCGGCUGUACCCCACUUUAUUUCUAAACGAUGCAAAGUGUUGUCUUAAGACAUGAAGCCAUGGACAUCUUAGAUAAGCAACCAAGGGCUGUGCAAUGCAAUUCCAAGAAUCGAGUUUUCGGGCACUUUUCUUAAUUCUGAUAACUCUGCUGUUGUGACAGAAAUCUAAAAUUUAUUAACCUCUUCUGUCUGGAUCCUUCGAGGUCCAUGACAGAAUGAAACUGAAAUAAAAUGCAUUAGUUUUUAAAAGGGCUCAAGUCAGUUUCCUGAUCUUUUAUGUGUGAAUAAAUCAGGGUUUUACUUCUUUGUGGAGCAGUGCAGGGAGUUAUUAGUUAAAGGUUUGUCUCGUUCUUUGAAAAUAAUUAUGUAAAUGAUACAUUACAACACUUAGGGUCUGGGGUGGAGUUAGACACUGCAUGAUUUAAAUAUAAAUUUUCUGCAGGGUUGCAGUGUAUUCCAAACUUGUAUUUUAAUUGCACAUUUGGUAUAAACAGUCCAAGAUAAACUGAUUUAAGGAACAGGUGGUUCAUUAGGGCAUGAAAAUUCUGUUGCCAGGAGAAGGUCCCCUUGCAAUCCCUGCCAGAGGUUUUGGAAGACAUCUUGCCAGAUGUGGACCCCAAAAGCAGAGUCACAUGUGGAUGCAAUAAGCUGGGAGGAACGAAUUGAUUCAGAUGCCUCACAGUGAAACGUGAAUGUGCUCAAAUGCCUGUUCAGAACAGGAGCUGGCUACAGUCUUCAGUAUCAGGAAUAAAGUCUUUUUGUAUGGACAUGACUGCACGGGCAUGGGAGGAGAGCAGACCUUGCAGUACAGACAGAUACAGGAUGGACAAUACAACUGCAAUGCUAAAAAGAAUAUCUGUGCAAUUUGGAAAAACACUUCAGAAAAUGGAAAUUCUGCUCAUGGGAGCAAGAGAAUAAACACGGCCUGGGCGUCCGGCACAUGGAUCAGAGCCUUAUCUGGUCACAGGCUUUCAUGUGUCAGCUCAGUGAAUAAAUGCACAGUCAGCAACUUAAAGGGGAGAAAAAAGCUGUCGACCGGUUAAUUAUCUGUGCAUGAAAUGUCAGUCCUGUGUGUCUUACAUGGAAGUGCCUACUCAUUAGUUGUCACUUUCAAGUCAGUCUUAGCUUAAGAUCUGGCUUGGAAAAAACCCACACUACUCUAUAAAAAUGGAAAUGUUUUUCUUGAAGAGAUAAUAAAAAGUGAGAUUGAUGAAGUAAAGGACUGAAAAAAUAAACAUAAAUCUGUCUUGGGUGUAAUAAUCGGUGAAUUAAUAAAAUGAAGAGUAGAGAAACAAGGUACUUGAGGGAAAGUAAACUAGAUUUUUUUAAACACCUAUUUUUAUUUCUAGGGCGCUUCAGCUGACUGAUUGAAGGUUAUUUUCUUGGCUGUGAACAAUUCAAGAGCAGUGAAUAAAAUCUGAAAAGCACAUUCUUGCAGUCAUACUCUACCAUAAAAAACACACUGGCACAUCCAAACUGUAAUUUGAGUACUGAGAUUUUUCCAGCCACACCUUAAAUAUCUGAAGAUAAACUUUGAUGUCCUAAAAUAAUGCUACUUAAAUGUUGCUUGAUACUUUUUUGGCUGUGGCAGCUCUCAUUUGAUCCUCCCAUCUAAGUCCCUUUCUCUAUUCUACCAUUAAAAUGUCCUCUACUUUUGCCUUUGCAUACUUUCACUGUAAUUACUGAGCUUAACCUCACAAAUAGCUAAUAUAGAGUCCAGACUAUAAAGAAACAUUAAAGAAGAGUUUUUUUAAAGCUACUUAGAUACCUAAGGAUGCAAAUAAGCACUAAUUACUUUCAAGAGUAUGGAUAUCUGAUCUGGGGCAAGUUUGGUUCCUAGUUACUUCAGAAAAGUGCAUUUUCCUAGUUGGUCAUUUAAAUACUUUUAAAGGAUCCUAACCCAAGUGCCCAGUUCUAGUCUAGCAUUAUGAGCCCAGUUCUAGUCUAGCAUUAUGAGCCCUCUUUUAAAAUCAUGGAGGCAGCCUCCAGUCCUGUCUUAGUCCAGCUCUGCAGAAUUGUGCACAUAUUUAAGCAUAUAGAUAGUCCCAGUGGAAUCAAAGAGACGCCAUCUGGCAGAAAACUAGACAUAUAUUAAAGGAAAAAAGUGUGAUAGUCUGUAGAGAGAUUGUAUUUAUAAUGUGUAGACAAGCAAGAGACUAAAUUAAGGCUGUGUGAAUGGCUUUCAGCCUGUGUUUCCAUCAUGUGCUUUUUCAUAAUAACUUUAGGCAGAAAAGUACAGAAAAGUAUCAGUACAGUGCAGAAAAGUAUCAAUGGUCUUGCAGGCAUUUCUGCCCGCUCUUCUAUGCUAGUGAAAACUAGCAUUGACGCAAUGAGGCAUAGGUGGUUAUUUAAAAUGGACCUAAGUAUAUUUUCCAAACACAUUUUAAAACAAAAUAUCCAAUUAAAGUAUUUUCUGUGGCACUAUAUAGUUGAUACUUGUUCUACCAGCACAGAUGCUAGUAUGUGAUAAGUCUCUUUGUCAGUGUGAUUGUAUAUUAAGCACAGAGAUUGCUAACUCUGUGAGUUUUCCACAGUCUUUGCAAUGCCAAGGAUGCUAUUUCAGGAAUUUGUAAACUUCUGCAUGGUAUCUGAAAUCAUACAGAUGCCAUGCUGAAACCUGGAAAGUCACAUACCUGCACCCUCAUUUUCAGUAGGCAAUGCAAGUAGUAUUUUGCCUACAAUUCUUACUUCUCUGAAAGCAGUGCCCUGUUCCAACAUGUGGUGUCUUUAAUCACUGACCAGGUCUUUAUGCACGUGAUAAUACUUUUCCCUGAUAUUUUACUAAUCCAGAAUGCCAUCUGUCACAAGCCAAGGAGGGAUAUGCUGAGUGGAGUUAUGGAAGAAAGCACCACUUCUCAGCACCCUGUGUUCAAACCUAACUUUCGGUUCAGUAAAGCUGACUGUAGUGCUGCAAGACUACCUGGGGGAAAAUAAAAAAAAAUCAGAAAUUUU